rnacentral:rRNA from 1 species
AUGGUAGGAUAGAGGCCUAUCAUGGUGGUAACGGGUAACGGGGUGUUAGGGCACGACACCGGAGAGGGAGCCUGAGAAACGGCUACCACAUCCAAGGAUGGCAGCAGGCGCGCAAAUUACCCAAUCCCGACACGGGGAGGUAGUGACAAUAAAUAACAAUACGGGGUUCUUAUGGAUCUCGUAAUUGGAAUGAGUACAAUUUAAAUCUCUUAACGAGGAACAAUUGGAGGGCAAGUCUGGUGCCAGCAGCCGCGGUAAUUCCAGCUCCAAUAGCGUAUAUNAAAGUUGUUGCAGUUAAAAAGCUCGUAGUUGAAUUUCGGGGUCAGUAGGUUGGUCAUGCCACUGGUAUGUACUGGUCUCACUGAUUCCUCCUUCCUGAUGAACUGUAAUGCCAUUAAUUUGGUGUUGCAGGGAAUCUGGACUGUUACUUUGAAAAAAUUAGAGUGUUUAAAGCAGGCUAACGCCUGAAUACAUUAGCAUGGAAUAAUGAAAUAGGACGUUCGAUCCUAUUUUGUUGGUUUCUAGGAUCAACGUAAUGAUUAAUAGGGAUAGUUGGGGGCAUUAGUAUUCAAUUGUCAGAGGUGAAAUUCUUGGAUUUAUUGAAGACUAACUACUGCGAAAGCAUUUGCCAAGGAUGUUUUCAUUAAUCAAGAACGAAAGUUAGGGGAUCGAAGACGAUCAGAUACCGUCGUAGUCUUAACCAUAAACUAUGCCGACUAGGGAUCGGAUGAUGUUAAUUUUUUAAUGACUCAUUCGGCGCCUUACGGGAAACCAAAGUGUUUGGG